rnacentral:lncRNA from 1 species
CACACCGUUGUCUUGUAGAAGAAAGGAUAAACUGAAGUCGAAAAAUUUAAAGACGAAGAUGGGGAGAAAAUUAAAGCGAAGACGAGAAGAAAGCAAUAUAGCAGAGAGCAUUAGAUGGUUAGCAGAAGUAGUACUGAGGUCGGAACAAGCUCGAAUGGAGACUAUGAGUGAGUUGGAGAGAAUAAGAGCUGAAGCUGAUGCUAAGAGAGGAGAAAUCGAUCUUAAAAGGACUGAGAUUAUUGCGAAUACUCAACUGGAAAUUGCUAAGAUCUUUGCGGGAAUUGGAAGAAGUUGACAAGUUAAUUAUUAGUAGGAAUUAUUACUUAAGAAAAUGUAUUAAGGAAUUGUGAUCGCAUGGCUCAAGAUUUGAUCAUAUGAUAAUUAAAAAAAAAAAAAUGAAAAAAAAGAUCUUGAUUUGAAUGUUAACACUAAUCAAGAAAAGAAAUAAGAAUGAUUGAAAUAGCCUGCGUUAUAGGGGAAGAUUAGCAAAGCGAGAAAAGACAGAGGGAGGGGGUAAGAGUUAUCUUAUACACUAUACGAUUACGAAACUGUUAGAGGCGCCCCUAAUAUAAAGUUGCUUGUUUGUAUAUUAUAUUGCUGCUCAAGUAUUCAACUGUUGUUAUUACAAAAUGUUUGCAGCCAAGAAUAAAUGAUGAAUUGUGCAUUGAUUGACCUUAUCUACAGUUGAUUUAAUUAAAUUCAUAGUAAACAAGAUAGGGUGGCUUGGGGAAUGGAUGGUUGGGUGGGGUACCAAAAGUAGUCUAAUUUCCCUUUGUGAAAAUUACAUAAAACCAUACGUUAAACAUUUAACAUUCUAAAACCAAGUUGAAAGUCCAACAUUUUAAAAAUCAGAUUUUUUUUUUAAAUAAAUAUAUUAUUAAUAAUUAAAAACUUCCAUUUCUCUCUCUCUCUCCACAGUCUCUUUGCCCUAAUUGAACACCACGCCCACUUUUUCACUGUACUUCCUAAUUCUCCACACUCCAAUUGCCGUUAUUGCGACGAAGCAGUGAUGUUGCCUCACCUAAUUCUCC